AGGAUGAACGCUGGCGGCGUGCUUAACACAUGCAAGUCGAACGGUGAAGCCAAGCUUGCUUGGUGGAUCAGUGGCGAACGGGUGAGUAACACGUGAGCAACCUGCCCUGGACUCUGGGAUAAGCGCUGGAAACGGCGUCUAAUACUGGAUAUGAGCUCCUAUCGCAUGGUGGGGGUUGGAAAGAUUUUUCGGUCUGGGAUGGGCUCGCGGCCUAUCAGCUUGUUGGUGAGGUAAUGGCUCACCAAGGCGUCGACGGGUAGCCGGCCUGAGAGGGUGACCGGCCACACUGGGACUGAGACACGGCCCAGACUCCUACGGGAGGCAGCAGUGGGGAAUAUUGCACAAUGGGCGGAAGCCUGAUGCAGCAACGCCGCGUGAGGGAUGACGGCCUUCGGGUUGUAAACCUCUUUUAGCAGGGAAGAAGCGAGAGUGACGGUACCUGCAGAAAAAGCGCCGGCUAACUACGUGCCAGCAGCCGCGGUAAUACGUAGGGCGCAAGCGUUAUCCGGAAUUAUUGGGCGUAAAGAGCUCGUAGGCGGUUUGUCGCGUCUGCUGUGAAAUCCCGAGGCUCAACCUCGGGCCUGCAGUGGGUACGGGCAGACUAGAGUGCGGUAGGGGAGAUUGGAAUUCCUGGUGUAGCGGUGGAAUGCGCAGAUAUCAGGAGGAACACCGAUGGCGAAGGCAGAUCUCUGGGCCGUAACUGACGCUGAGGAGCGAAAGGGUGGGGAGCAAACAGGCUUAGAUACCCUGGUAGUCCACCCCG
rnacentral:rRNA from 1 species